CCGCCGGGGUGACAUGGGGUGGAGAGUCAGGCGGUUGUAAAGGGCAGCCCCAGGGAGGACCCGUCGGGCAGCGAGCUCGUGGCCUGAGAGAGUGACGGACGCAAAGGGGAGCGGGGCGGGCUGGGGCGAGCGCCAUGGCGGACAGCGCAGCUUUAUCUUCACGGUACAGAACAAUGCUGGGAAUCCUGCUCGCCUGAGGAGCUGCAGGAACAGGUUCUAGGAGCGCUUCUGAUUGCUGCUGUCCCUGGGUCCCUGCCUGCCAGCCGCUAUGUACUGCCUUCAGUGGUUACUGCCUGUCCUCCUCAUCCCUAAGCCCCUCAACCCAGCUUUGUGGUUCAGUCACUCAAUGUUCAUGGGCUUCUAUCUGCUGAGUUUUCUCCUGGAGCGGAAGCCAUGCACAAUCUGUGCCUUGGUCUUUCUGGCAGCCUUGUUUCUCAUCUGCUACAGCUGCUGGGGGAACUGCUUCUUGUAUCACUGCAGUGGCUCCCAGCUGCCUGAAUCUGCUCACGAUCCCAGCAUAGUUGGUACCUAAAGGAUCCUCCAGCUUGCUAACAGCGCUGGGUUUGCUUUUAAAAGAAGGGGUUUGGGUGAGGUUGGGGGGAGGGAGGGCUUGUUAGGCAUGUGACUGGAGUACAAGCAGCCUGUUUUCUAUAACGUGUGUGUGGACUAGAGCGGUAAAUUCCUGAUCAGCCCUCCCACAUGGCGUAUGAAAUUUGACGUCCGUUGUUUACUGUGUGAAUCUGGCACUGCCACCUGCUUUUAGAAGCAGAAGAGUUAUAUAUUUUCCCUUCCCUUAUUUCUGGGAAUGGACACUGGCCCUCUCCUCUGGGAAGUGGUGGAAGAAGGACCUGUUGCAGCUCUCCCACUGUUGCAUGGUGUUGGUCAUCCAUGUUUGGUUCUCGAUGGUCUGUAUACAGCCCCAGCUGUCUCUGGAAGCAUUGGGCCCACCAAUUCCGUGGAAGCAGUGAGAAGAUUCUCCAUGCUGCUGUUUGCGGGGGAGCCAGUCUUCAUUGCUCUGGAUUUGCAAUAACUUAACAGAUGCUCUUGGCUGAAAGCUGCUGGAGCCAGAGACUGCUGAGUCAUCUCCUCCUGCUCAUCAUGCCAAAUUGAAAAUGUGCACUGCCCAAGUGCUUUCUGAACAACUUGCGUUCUCCCAGAUCAGAACUGAAAAACCUUUGCGUUGUCACAGAGCUGUGUCUAAAGCGCUUCUCACAGGCAUCGGAGCCUGCCUCCCUCUCUGCUGUAUUUCCACAGUUUACUGAGGUCUUGACUCUGGAUACGAAGCAUGCUCUGCUGUGGUGUUUGAGGUUGUUUUCAUUUCACUGUUAGUUUAACACUGUCAGCAUUUCUAGCUGGAGUAGUGAGGUGAAAGCAGAGAGGGAGGGUUCAGAGUUUUAGUAAGCAUGAUUGGGGUGGUUCAAAAUAGCAUAUGGUUGUAUCCAUUCAACUGACAGUGUUUGCAGGCCGGGGCUGCCUGUGCAUUUUCUUUUGUCCCAAGCAAACCAACCACUGUUAAUGUGCAAUGGAGGGUGGGAGUAAUAAAGGGCUAGUGAGCAGUCCUGGGAUCUCUGUUCUCUGCUGGCAGGCUGGUUUUGGGGAGCCCAUGGGAGGUUUCCCUAGUGGUACUUGCUGUACAGCUUUCUUUCCUGCUCUUCUGGUCCAGUGCAUAGCAGCACCUCCCAGAAGGAAUGGUGUUCCUUGCUAUGGCAAAUGUUUGCUUGUGAAAAACUUAACCAGUUUUUGAAAUACACUGGGUUUAUAUGUUUUCAAGGUUAUGUUCCAAUUUGCCAUCCAUUUGUUUCCAUACAAGCUUCUCUUACUGCAGAGCAGCAGAAAUGGUUGUUGCUCUCUCAAGGGGGGUUAAAACUAAAACCAGCUGUGAAACUUCCAGAGCAUUGUACUGUUUGUUCACUGCACAGCUGUUCACAAUGUUCAAUAAAGCUUUAUAAACUUUGGUCUA